UGGAUAUUAGUUUAAAUUUAAAACUUUUAAAUUGCAUUUAAAAAUUAAUAUAUUAUUUAUUAUAUCUAA